ensembl:lncRNA
GGGGGGGACGUCGGUGACAAGGGGGGGGGCGGCGAUGGCGCCGGAGGCGGCGGCACCGUGGGGACGGGAGGCGGCGGCGCCGAUGGGGGGCGGCUCGGCGGCGGCGGCGGCGGAGGUGACACCCGCGGCACCGGAGGUGGCACAGAGGAUGUCCCCGUUGUCACCGGAGGUGGCCCCGUGGGGACGGGAGGGGACGAGGAUGAUGAGGGACAGGGCAGCGGUGACGCGAGGGGCGACGCCGAUGGCGCUGGAGAUGGCGCUGUGGGGACGGGAGGUGACAAAGGACGGGGCGGCGGUGGCGGCGGAGGUGACAUCGAUGGCGCGAGAGGUGGCACGAAGGAUGUCCCCGUUGUCACUGGAGGUGACACGAAGGAUGUCCCCGAUGUCCCCAAAGGGGUCCUCGGAGGUGACCCCAAUGUCCCCAAAGGGGUCUUCAGAUGUGUCCCCAAAGGGGUCCUCGGAGGUGACCCCGAUGUCCCCAAAGGGGUCCCCAGAGGUGGCCCCAGAGAUGUCCCCAAUGUCCCUGGGGGAGAAGUCCUUGGAAAUGUCCCCAGUGUCCCCAAAGGGCUCGUCAGAAGUGUCCCCAAAGGGGCCCUCGGAGGUGGCCCCAGAGAUGUCCCCAGAGAAGCGUCCAACGUCCCCAAAUGUGUCCUUGGAAGUGGCCCCAGUGUCCCCAAAGGGGCCCCCAAAGGCGGUCCCGGGGACGUCCCACGUGUCCCCAAAGGGGUCCUCGGAUGUGUCCCCAAAUGGGACCUCAGAGAGGCACCCAACGUCCCCAGAGCGCUCCUUGGGUGUCCCCCUGAUGUCCCCUUGUGGGUCCCCGAAGGUGGCCCUGGGGACGUCCCCAAAGGGGUCCUCGGAUUUGUCCCCAAUGUCCCCAAAGGGGUCGUCGGAAAUGUCCCCAAAUGGGUCCUCAGAUGUGGCCCAGAUGUCCCCAAAGGGCUCCUUGGAGAUGUCCCCAAUGUCCCCAAGGGGGUCCUCAGAUGUGUCCCCAAAGGGGUCCUUGGCGACGUCCCCAAAUGGCUCCCAGAUGUCCCCAAAGGGGUCCUUGGCGACGUCCCCAAAUGGCUCCCAGAUGUCCCCAAAUGGCUCCUCGAAAAUGUCCCCGAUGUCCCCAAAGGGGUCCUCGGAAGUAGCCCCGAUGUCCCCAGAUGCGUCCUCAGAAAUGUCCCCGAAGGGGUCCUCGGAGAUGUCCCCAAAUGGCUCCCAGAUGUCCCCAAAGGGGUCCUCGGAGAUGUCCCCAAAUGGCUCCCAGCCGUCCCCCAAGGGACCCUUGGAAGUGUCCCCGAUGUCCCCCGAGGGCUCCUCGGACCCCCCCAAGGGCCGCCCAAACGGGACCUGGGGGCGGUGCCCCGACGAGGACCCCAAACCGUGUCCCCAAAGGGGGUCCCCCCAAAAACCCCCCGGGAAGGUCCCCAAAGGGUCCCCACGGCGGUCCCCAAAGGGGUCCCCGCGAAAAGCCCCCGAGAUGUCCCCAAAGGGGUCCCCAAAGGGGUCCCCAAAAAGACCCCCCGAGAUGUCCCCAAAGGGGUCCCCAAGACGACGCCAAGAGAUGUCCCCAAGAAGACCCCCCGAGACGCCCCCAAGGGGGUCUCCAAAGGGGUCCCCAAGAAGACCCCCCGAGACGUCCCCAAAGGGGUCCCCGCGACGCCGCCGAGAGGUGUCCCCAAAGGGGUCCCCGCGAAGACCCCCGGAAACGUCCCCAAAAGGGUCCCCGAGGAGACCCGUGGAAACGUCCCCAAAGGGUUCCCCGAGGAGACCCCCCCCCCAACCCCCGCCCCCCCCGGCGUCCCCAUCACCCGUCGGAGGGGACGCAGACGUCGUCGUCGUCGUCACCGCCGCCGCCGCCGCCUUCCCCGCGUCGGGGGGGGGGUUUUCCUCGGAGACCCCCGAACCCAACGAGGGAGGGGAAGGAGAUUUCGGGGACCCCCAACGACGGCGGUGCGGGUCGGGUUGGGAGGGAGGGGGAUCGA